rnacentral:misc_RNA from 1 species
UUUCCGCAGGUGAACCUGCGGAAGGAUCAUUCAUAAUAAGUGUUUUAUGGCACUUUUUUAAAUCCAUACCCACCUUGUGUGCAAUGUCAGGGUUAGUCGCUUUUGAUCAGCCCCAAACAUCAACUAUUAUCUCAACUCUUUGUCUGAAAAAUAUUAUGAAUAAAACAAUUCAAAAUACAACUUUCAACAACGGAUCUCUUGGCUCUC